CUAAAACGCUUCACAAUUUAUCUGUCAAAUCAUUUCUUAUUAUACGAUUUUAUAAUGACAUCAACUGUAGUAACACAUCUUUGAUACAUUUUAGUGCUUAUAUGCUUCUCAAAGUUUUCUACUUUCACUUGAUUUAUUUUUAAGAUGAUUGUAUAACUGUUGAUCAAUUGAUAGCUGAAAGACUGUCAAAUGAAUAUGGAAUUAGGUUGUAGUAGAUACAGUCAAGUUACCAUUACCGGAUUAUUACCCAUAGAGGAUCACUUUCAUGUUCAAGAAUGCGCUUCCCGAUAAAUAUUUGUCAGUUUUGGAUGAUAUUUUGAACACAGCAUUUUCAAUCACAUAUAGAAAACAAUUAUAACAAAAACAAAUGAAUAUAAUUUACAACUGGCAAUGUAAUUUGGGCAUUGUAAACAACACAGUUCAUGUUUCGACAGUUCAAAUAGCGUGGUAGAAGCCCCCUGAGUGGUUUCGAUCACGUGAUCCGUUAUGGCUACAACUGAUCUGUUAAUGCAUGAAUUCUGCUGCGAAAAAAAGGUAUCACAAAUACAUUUUGCCUGCGUUUAAAAAUAAGACUAUAUGCUGAAUCAGCGAGCAAAGGUAAUAUUUAAUCAAACUGAUGUAAAAGAAGUCUCAAAACAUUUAUUGCUUUUCACCAGAACAACUUUAUUACGCUACUGAUCCGGUAAUGGUAACUUGACUGUACAUGUAUUAUAAAAUUUGUGUUAAAAAUCUGUGUGCAAUCCUGUAAUGGACUGUAAGCAAUCGCAAUUCUAUUUGUAACACCAGAAUUAACCCUUUACAUGCUGGGAAAUUUGUCGUCUGCUAAAAUGUCGUCUGCUGAAUUUCUACAAUUAGCAUUUCUUUGAUUUUUUUUUCAAAAAAUACUAUCAGAAUAGCAAACAGUUUGGAUCCAGAUGAGACGCCACGUUCUGUGGCGUCUCAUCUCGAUCCAAACUGUUUGCAAAGGCCUUCAAAAUUUGGUUCCCGCACUGAAAGGAUUAAUGAAUGCGUUAUCAAUGUCAAUUAAGUGUUCAUGAUCAAGUUGAAAUUAAAGCAGUGAUGCGCAAAGAUAUUGAUUCGUUAAAACAAAAAAGAAAUAAAAAAUGUAGAACAACACAAAUUUGGAAGUCACUUUAGAGACUAUAGUUUCCAGUUUUAGACAAUUUAAAGGUUGUCUGCUCAUAUGUUUUGGAAUAUUGGUAAGAUUGUUACCAGAUUCAAUACUUGUGCGGGCAUUUUUUUUUAUUUGUAAUAUAUUAUGUUUAAAUAUAAUUAAAACCACACAUAUAUAUUUUGCAAUAAUUUUAUUAAGGCCUGUAUCUUGUUGUUUCAGUGAAGAACUCCAAUGAUAUACAUGUAGGGGCAUGUUUCCAAAGCUGAUCCACAUCAUAACAUACUGAUUGGGAAUAAUGACAUAGUACCAAAAGAUGUGCUUACACUGUAAUAAGCAGAUCUUCACAAAUGAACCUGGCAGAUCCUGGUGCAACCUUACCUUACCAUGUUUACAUCUAACCGUCAGUUUGAGCUGUGUGUGGGUGGUAACACGGACUAUAUACAUGUAUUGCCCAGUAAUUGUCUUGUGAUGGACCUUUUUAACAUAUCAAGUAUUUAAUUGAAGACUUAAGAGGUCAGUUUUCAUCAAAGAAUUUAAAAAUACAGUUUUUUUGUAAGGGUGAAUAUGUGGUUAUAAUGGCAUUGAUGUAUAUCUUGUGUCUGUUUUUUAAUCAGCCUUUCAUCCAUAAUUAUGAAUAUUAAGCAUGAUAAAGUAUUUUAAGGGAAUAUAAUGUAGAAAUGUUAUGUUGUUUCUGCACAAGCUUUUGAAUACAAGAAAUUCUAUGUUCACUCAGCACUGUUUACACAUUAUCAAUGAAUUUGCUUGUUUUAGUUUCCAAAUCUGUCUGUCUCUAGCUCCCUGUGACUAAUGUACUUUUUUACAUUGCAUCCAUUGAUUUUAAAUGGGGUGUAUUAUGCACAUGUCACACUUUUUUUACAAAAACAUCAAGGUCAAAGGUAAAAUAUAUGGGUCAAAAUCAUAACUUUUGCAAUAUUGAAGAUAGCAACUUGAUAUUUGGCAUGCAUGUGUACCUCAUGGAGCUGCACAUUUUGAGUGGUGAAAGGUCAAGGUCAUCCUUCAAGGUCAAAGGUCAAAUAUAUGGGUCGAAAUCGCUCAAAAAGGGACAUUGUGUAUUGUGUUUUACAAACACAUACCUUGUUAUGUUAUGUAAUGGCCUUUCAAUCAUCUUAUUUUUUUAUGAAAUACGCUGGAUUUGUCUUUUCAUUUCAUCCAUGAUAUCAUUAUGUUUUUUUUGCCUGUUACAUUUUGCGGCCCAAUGUACGUGUUAAGCAGUUUAACCAUUUACAACGGCAUUUGUGGCGAGGCUAACAGUCAUAAGGUUGGUCAUUACAUGCACUGCAUAUCAUAAAAUCGUUUGGCUUUUAUUGACAAAAUUUGCGAAAACGGUGUUAAAGACUAAACAUCACAAGUGUCGCAACUUCGUCCCCACCUGGGAAUUCAGAGCGCAAAUUUCAGAUUAUAAUGUGUCAGAUUUUACACUUGUAUAAUGAAGAAGUCAUCUCUUGACAAGAUGGUGAUGUCCUGAUCUCGUUCCAAGCCACACAUGAUACUUGUUUUGCUUUUAAUCAAAAUCGGUGUUAAAUAGUAAACAUAAAAAGUGUCACAAAUUCGUCCCUAUUGAGAAGUCAGAGCUAAAAUUUCUGAUUUUAAUUUGUCAGAUUUUGCACUUUUAUAAUGAAGAAGUCAUCUCUUGACAAGAUGGUGGUGUCCUUAUCUCGUGCCGAGCCACAAAUGAUUCUUGUUUUGGUUCAAAGCAACAUAUAAACGAAGAUUUUUUAAAUGUACUUUGUUUUAAAUUCUGUUCUUUGAAAAAUGCAUGUACUUUGUUUUUAAUUCUGUUCUUUGAAAAAUGCAUAAUAAGUCAUCAACUAUUAUAAUUUUAUGAAAAUAUUACUUUAAUUUUG